GUCUAUGGCCAUACCACCCUGAACAUGCCUAAUCGCAUCUGAUCUCAGAAGCUAAGCAGGGUCAAACCUGUUUAGUACUUGAAUGAGAGAGUAAACUUGAUAUGUUCUCCAUUAGUACAGGGACCCCAUCAACU
rnacentral:rRNA from 1 species